GGUGAGAUGGCCGAGUUGGUUAUGGCGCCAGGUUAAGGUCUCCCCUUAACACACACCAGAAACAACAGUUUCUGAUGCUUCCUGGUCACGAAAGUGGCGUGGGUUCGAGUCCCACUCUCAUCA
rfam:Setosphaeria turcica Et28A unplaced genomic scaffold SETTTscaffold_7, whole genome shotgun sequence.